CGGAGCUGCUCCGGCCCCGCCCGGGGUCGCUCCGUCGCUGCUCCCGGGCAGCCCCGCUGCCGCCCCGCUCCCGCCGCCUCCUUUGCGGGUUCCCCGGCCCGAGCUCGGCAGCUCGGCCGCCGGCCCCGAGCCGCCCGUGUCCGGUGCAGCAGAUCGGGAAGCAGAGCCCCGGGAGGUUGGGCCCCUCGGGCGGAACGCGGGGAGCGCAAUGUCUCCCGCACGGCCGGAGAAGCAUCCCCUGGAGCAGCUUUACCGGGAGGGCCCGCUGCUGGGGAGCGGCGGCUGCGGCAGCGUUUACUCGGGGACACGCCUGGCGGACGGCGCCCCGCUAAGAGGCAGGGAGGGGUCGGAGGAGAGAGGAGGGCGGCAGGCAGCGAGCUCAGCCCGGCGCUCCUUGGUUUGCAGGAACACCAGAGUACAGCCCACCAGAGUGGAUCCUCUUCCACUGCUACCAUGGCCAUUCAGCAACAAUCUGGUCCCUGGGUAUCCUGCUCUAUGAAGUGGUCUGCAGGGACCUUACUUUCUACAAUGAUGAGGACAUUGUCUGGGGCCAGCUUUUCUUCCCAUCCACGUGUCUCAUGGCAUUAAGAAGCCAAGAAAAGCAGACCGUUUCCCUGUGACUGUAGCAGAGUAGGGAGCAUAGCUGAUGAGAUGCUUCUGCCGGUGCUGGGGGAAGUUGUGGAGGAAGAGGCUGAGCGCUCUCCAUCGUAUUUGAGAAGUCCUGGCAGUCUGGUAAAGUUCCCACACACUGGAAAAGGGGAAACAUCCCCCCUGCAGCUUAAAGGCAUCGUGGUCCUCCUGCAAACUGGGGCACAACUGUGGUGUCCUGGAACAUGACAUCAAGCUGGAGAAUGUCAUUGUGGGAUAUGGGCACCAGUGGGGCGAAGCUGAUUGGCUUUGUUUGCAGCACCUUCCUUGAGGACACGCUCUGCACCCAGAUGAAAAAAGAUGAAAGAUGAAAAAGACCUGGUCGGGGCUGGGGGGAUGCAGCCACCCUGGCCCAGGCUGGGGAAGCCAGCCCGACAAAAACAUGGCAAGGUGGCAGAGGACGGAAUUCCGCACCCACGUGCCGGCUGUUUUCAUUUGCAGGCCCUUGAGGAAGGGCUGGGGCUGGGAAAGUUGGGGUUUUUCCCUGCCUAUGGGGAGCUUUAUUCCUUGCUUGGAGUAGUCAAACCUUCCCCAGGCCUGUGAUACAUUGAUAACAUUUUACGUUAUUCUUGUUUCCAAGUCUUGGUUUUAAUUUACUUUCAUGCAGUUGUUAUUUGUUUUUUAAAGGAAGAUUCUACCAUGUGCCUGGACCAGACUGGGAAGUGCUGGGACUGUGGAGUGGAUUGAUCCCACUGCCAGUGCUACUCUGGCCAUGACCCUUCAAGACGGACAAGAACAUUAUCUGGGAUCAGCUUCUCUUCCAGCAGUGGGUCUCUUGAGGUGGGUACCCAGCUUCAUGGCAUGGGUGCCAGAACGGGUUUUGGAAGAUGGCAGCAGGCACACGAGCACUCUGCUCUUGCAGAAUCAACUGAGAAGGUUGAUCUCCCAUGGUUAGCUGGAGGAGGUGGCUGGCACAUCCUGCCAUCCUGCUCUCCUCCAAAACAGAGAAUGGACUGGGAGGUCUGGGCUCUGAGCACACCCAGCGGCAUGGCCUGGGCACUGCGGACAGUGGGACAGGGUGGACAGGAGCCUUCUCCCACUGUCUGUUGGCUUCUGGUUUCUCUCCCCAGGGGCCCAACACCUCAUCACAUUGAAACAGCAUCAUCGGCCUGCAAAUUUGGGGGGCAGGGGGUGUUUAUUUGCUGUCAAAAAUAAAUCUUUUUUUUUGUAA